rnacentral:rRNA from 1 species
ACACCUGGAAACAGAUGCUAAUACCGUAUAACAGAGAAAACCGCAUGGUUUUCUUUUAAAAGAUGGCUCUGCUAUCACUUCUGGAUGGACCCGCGGCGUAUUAGCUAGUUGGUGAGGUAAAGGCUCACCAAGGCAGUGAUACGUAGCCGACCUGAGAGGGUAAUCGGCCACAUUGGGACUGAGACACGGCCCAGACUCCUACGGGAGGCAGCAGUAGGGAAUCUUCCACAAUGGACGCAAGUCUGAUGGAGCAACGCCGCGUGAGUGAAGAAGGGUUUCGGCUCGUAAAGCUCUGUUGUUAAAGAAGAACGUGGGUAAGAGUAACUGUUUACCCAGUGACGGUAUUUAACCAGAAAGCCACGGCUAACUACGUGCCAGCAGCCGCGGUAAUACGUAGGUGGCAAGCGUUAUCCGGAUUUAUUGGGCGUAAAGCGAGCGCAGGCGGUCUUUUAAGUCUAAUGUGAAAGCCUUCGGCUCAACCGAAGAAGUGCAUUGGAAACUGGGAGACUUGAGUGCAGAAGAGGACAGUGGAACUCCAUGUGUAGCGGUGAAAUGCGUAGAUAUAUGGAAGAACACCAGUGGCGAAGGCGGCUGUCUGGUCUGCAACUGACGCUGAGGCUCGAAAGCAUGGGUAGCGAACAGGAUUAGAUACCCUGGUAGUCCAUGCCGUAAACGAUGAUUACUAAGUGUUGGAGGGUUUCCGCCCUUCAGUGCUGCAGCUAACGCAUUAAGUAAUCCGCCUGGGGAGUACGACCGCAAGGUUGAAACUCAAAAGAAUUGACGGGGGCCCGCACAAGCGGUGGAACAUGUGGUUUAAUUCGAAGCUACGCGAAGAACCUUACCAGGUCUU